UGGGGGAUAUUGCACAAUGGGCGAAAGCCUGAUGCAGCGACGCCGCGUGGGGGAUGAAGGCUUUCGGGUUGUAAACCUCUUUCGCUAUCGAACAAGGCCCGCUUAGGGUGGGUUGAGGGUAGGUGGAGAAGAAGCGCCGGCUAACUACGUGCCAGCAGCCGCGGUAAUACGUAGGGCGCGAGCGUUGUCCGGAAUUAUUGGGCGUAAAGGGCUUGUAGGCGGCUUGUUGCGCCUGCUGUGAAAACGCGGGGCUUAACUUCGCGCGUGCAGUGGGUACGGGCAGGCUUGAGUGUGGUAGGGGUGACUGGAAUUCCAGGUGUAGCGGUGGAGUGCGCAGAUAUCUGGAGGAACACCGAUGGCGAAGGCAGGUCACUGGGCCAUUACUGACGCUGAGGAGCGAAAGCAUGGGUAGCGAACAGG
rnacentral:rRNA from 1 species